rnacentral:rRNA from 1 species
AUUGAACGCUGGCGGCAGGCUUAACACAUGCAAGUCGAGCGGGGUGAUGGUGCUUGCACUAUCACUUAGCGGCGGACGGGUGAGUAAUGCUUAGGAAUCUGCCUAUUAGUGGGGGACAACAUCUCGAAAGGGAUGCUAAUACCGCAUACGUCCUACGGGAGAAAGCAGGGGAUCACUUGUGACCUUGAGCUAAUAGAUGUGCCUAAGGCGGAUUAGCUAGUUGGUGGGGUAAAGGCCUACCAAGGCGACGAUCUGUAGCGGGUCUGAGAGGAUGAUCCGCCACACUGGGACUGAGACACGGCCCAGACUCCUACGGGAGGCAGCAGUGGGGAAUACUGGACAAUGGUGUGAACCCUGAUCCAGCCAUGCCGAGUGUGUGAAGAAGGCCUUAUGGUUGUAAAGCACUUUAAGCGAGGAGGAGGCUCUUUUGGUUAAUACCCAAGAUGAGUGGACGUUACUCGCAGAAUAAGCACCGGCUAACUCUGUGCCAGCCGCCGCGGUAA